UAGAAAGAGCAAUACAGUAAUAGUAAAACUCGAGCGUCACGACAUUGCGAAGUGUCUGAUCUUGUUCCUCGUGUCGUACUCUCGAGUCCAUCCGAGAUGGCCCGAGUGAAAUUUCAUGCAAAUGUUUCGUACGGGAAAAAAAAUCGCCUCCGGGUCGGGUCUGGAUCACAUGGUCUGGAUUGUGUUGAAAAAUUUACAUGUCGCGAUCGGUAUAUGCAAGCAAAGAGUAUAAAUAGAACUUCUAGAAGUUCUAUUUAUACUCUUUGAUGCAAGCUAAUGGCGAUGAGUUAGGAAAGGAAGAUUAAAAACAGAUUUCACUCAACUCUCAAAUAAAAACACUUGCAACAUGACUUUUGUUUUAACAUUUAUUCAUACUUCUGGCAGAAAAUAUAAGAACCAUGAAAAAUGAACCAAAGAUAACCAUGACAAAUGAAGAAACAAUAUUCCUAAGGAGUUACAUCAUUUCAUUGCUGUGCAUGAGAAAUGCAUGCAGAUCAGGUGUCAUCACUAAUAUGACCUUGCAAGAGUUUAAAAUAGCUGAACACAUGGAAGGCAAAUGGUGUGUGACAAAAAGAUAAGAACCAUCACAAAUGAACCGUUAAAAAAGAUAGGAACCAUCACAAAUGAAGAAACUGUCUUUUUUAGAAGUUACAUAAAUGCAUGCAGAUCCGGUGUGAUUACGAAUAUGACUCUGCAGGAGUUCAAAAUGGCCGAAAACGUUCAAGUUAAAUGGUGUGUGACAGUAACAAAACAUGAAGGAUAUCAAUAUAUUCUCACGUAUCGGACGAGACAUAAAAUUGUAAAUUACGGAAAAAAAACCAGGAAUUCAUCUUAUGUGCAGACAAUCCGCAACACAGUAUUACUGAAAAAAAAGCUGCUGGUAUGAAUGAAUGCAAUUUUACAUUUUUUAUGAACAUUUAAAAGCCCUGAUCGCCUUACAUAUGAGGUUAUACAGUAGUUGGUGCAGUGUUCUCCCCUGGCCCAUAAAGCGUCAUGAUACCUUGACGCUUGUGACUUACCCCUGUGAUGGUUCCAAGGUGGCCAUGAUGCUUGGUAUGUAUACCGUGACUAUUUACAAUGUCAGUCAAUAAACAAUGCUGUUCAUAGUAUGCAUAUUUCCAUUAUAACUCCCUGGUAUUUCCUAGUUAGCCUUGGUUUGAACAAGAGUGAGUGAAAAUAAUUUUAAAUGACAGCCACUUUAUAGCAAUUAGACACUAGAUCCGCCCCUGAAUGCAAUUCUUUAAGUAAUAUUUUGAUUUUUUUUUUCAAUAUUAUUAAGAUAAUGUUGCUUAGGAGAUAAAACACAUUAAUUAAAAUAAAAUUUACACAAAACUACAAUAAAUCAACUGUAAAGGACUAAAGUAAAAUUAACUUGAAAUAUGCUUUCAAAGCACAUAAAAAUGUUCAACUAUUCUUACAUAUCUUUUUUUAAAAAAUCAAAAUUAAAUGGUUUUACAUAUUUCAUAUACUACCACAAUACAAAAAAAUGAUGAAACAAGUUAUUUAAAAAAAAUUAGAUUGCAAACCAUAAAACAGCCGUUCAGGGCCCAGCAAUUCUAAUACUGGAGGAUGACUUACAUAACUUGAUGGGAAUGUUCAUGUCCAUUGUGCACAAGGAACCGGUAAUUGGCCAGGACAUCAGGCCCUGCCAGGAUAUGACAAGGUUAUGGCAUCACCUGGGAGUAAGGUGUAAUAAAACUGUAAAUUGCACGCACUUCCGAAAGCAAGUUGCAACCAUGAUAAGACUUAUUUAUUUAAUUUGUGUAAUUUUACAAGAUCUUUCAUUUGGAUUAAAAACAUAAUAAAUGAGCUCUAUUUAUAAUGUGACCAUCCUCUUUUUAAAGUUGACUUUUGAUGCUAUUUUAAGUCAGGUAAAUCCUUUUUUCUUUUUCCAUA
rnacentral:lncRNA from 1 species